UUCCACUGAAUUUUAUUGACUGCAAAGGAGUCAUUAAGGUAUACAAUAUAAUGAUGGGAAACUCACCCAAGGUCCCGAAUCGUGCAGAACAUGCCGAAUCAGCCCACUGCAGACAGGCAGGUCUGCACACGGCCUACCCAGGUCCCGAGUCAUGCAGAAUACGCCGAAUCAGCCUGCUGCAGACAGGCAGGUCUGUGCACACCCUACCAAGGUCCUGAGUCAUGCAGAACAUGCAGAAUCAGCCCACUCACUGGCAACAAUCCACUGGACCCCCAGCCCCACUCCUCUGUACAGCCACCUGGUUCUACACAACGAAGACCCAGAAGACACCAGACCACCAGACCAUGGUACUGAGUCCCACUGCUCCAGCCCAGAGGGCUGGGAGAAUAGCCCAGGGGCACAGAAUUUGCUUAGGAUGUACAUGGCCUUGGAUUUAAUUCUCAGCAUCACAAAACAAG
ensembl:lncRNA